UACGUAGGGUCCGAGCGUUGUCCGGAAUUAUUGGGCGUAAAGAGCUCGUAGGCGGUCUGUCGCGUCUGCUGUGAAAUCCCGGGGCUCAACUCCGGGCUUGCAGUGGGUACGGGCAAACUAGAGUGCGGUAGGGGAGAUUGGAAUUCCUGGUGUAGCGGUGGAAUGCGCAGAUAUCAGGAGGAACACCGAUGGCGAAGGCAGAUCUCUGGGCAGUAACUGACGCUGAGGAGCGAAAGCAUGGGUAGCAAACAGG
rnacentral:rRNA from 1 species